GACAGAGGGUGCAAACGUUGUUCGGAAUUACUGGGCGUAAAGCGUGUGUAGGCUGCCAAAUAAGUCGGAUGUGAAAGCCCUGGGCUCAACCCAGGAAGUGCACUCGAUACUGUUUGGCUUGAGUAUCGGAGAGGUUGGUGGAAUUCUCGGUGUAGAGGUGAAAUUCGUAGAUAUCGAGAGGAACAUCGGUGGCGAAGGCGGCCAACUGGACGAAUACUGACGCUGAGACACGAAAGCGUGGGGAGCAAACAGG
rnacentral:rRNA from 1 species